AUUGUAGUUAUGACUUGACCCUGCAUAGUUAAACCAGAAAGUAAUAUGAACAAUAAUCACUGGAGCUGCAAACCAGGCCUCUUUCUAUAGCAUAAUCAUCUGACAUAUCCACGAAAACUCCGUUAAAGGCAGCAAAAUGAGUUGAAUUGUCAGUAGACACACGAAGAUUUUAUAUCAUCUACAAGUAUACAUAGAGAAACACACAGAGGGUGAUCCCACUGCAGUUUCAAAGGGAAGCAGGAGGCAUUUCCUGCCAAAAUGUUUCAUCUCAUAUCAAACCUGCUGAAGUCACACAAUUCCUUUUUCAAAAGGCUAAACUAAAUCACUCACACGUAACAAAUUUUUCCUUUUUUUUUAUCACAAAUAGUAACAAUAAACAAUGCAAAUGAUUUUGCUGAUUUACAGAACAUGAUUAACACUGGUAAUUCCUGUUUGACAUAAAUUAAUAGUUUGAAU
rnacentral:misc_RNA from 1 species